GGGGGAUCAAUCCAACUACAGCAGAGGCCUCUCUGAUGGAAGAUUUAAAAACCUUUCCUUGGUUUUCACUGUUAUUUCAGUUGCUGCUUGAACAGGGAUGACUUGACUGAAUUGUACCUGCCAGGAGGGAUUCCUGAGAUGCUGAGCUGCUGAGGGCUGGCCUUGGAGCACUCCUCUGUAUGCAGAGAGUAAAACUCCUUUACUGGCUGCUGAGCAGUAGGGCUUUACCAACGUGGAUGUUUCUUGUGCUUGAAGAUACUUUCUCCCAUGAUCCAUUAGAUGAAAGUGCACUAUGCACCUUGGGGUCCCCUCUCUUUCACUGCCUGAAGCUGCUCAACACUGCUGCCUCUCUGGGGUCUAACCCCAAAUUCCUGCUGUUGGCUGAAAAGCCCAGCUGAGCUGGUUUUGGCUGGGGAAGUGCUUGCAAGGAAUCAAGGCCUUUUCUGCUCCUCACCCACCAGUGAAGAGACUGGGGGUGAACAAGGAGCUGGGAGGUGACACAGCCAGGGCAGCCAACCCCAGCUGCCCACAGAGGUGUCCCAGAAGAUGUGGCCUAAUGCUCAGCAUAUAAAGCUGGGGGCAGAAGAAGGAAACGGGAGACAUUUGGAGUGAUGGUAUUUGUCUUCCCAAGUCACUGCUGUGUGCGAUGGGGCCCUGCUCUCCUGGAGAUGGCUGAACACCUGCCUGCCCAUGGGAAACAGUGAAUGAAUUCCUUGGUCUGCUUUGCUUGUGUGCACAGCUUUUGCUUUUCCUAUUAAACCGUCUCUAUCUCAA